UUUUUAGAAUGAGUUGGCAAACCAGUACAACCGGCAAGCACGAUCAACUACAUAUAGAGUAUAGACACGCACGUUCUCUUAUUUGUGAAAAAAAUAAUAAUAAUAGUUUUAAAUUAAAAUACAUCAAUAUAAGAAAUUAUUGAAGACGGAUUUAUUAUGUGGACUGUAGCAAAGACACACACGCACAAAAAUUUGAACUCACAGUGAUGGUGAGAUGUGAACGAGUAAUUCAAGGCACUGCGAGAACGUGAGUAAGGCUAUACAUUCUACCUUUAAUAAUACGACAGUGUCCUCUUGAAUUUGAUGAAAUCGACCCUAUUUGUGGUACAACGUUCAUAAAGGAUCGUUUAUCGAUGCAUCAAGCAUUGACCUCCAUGGUCCAUUGAUUGAGCAAAUGGAAUUAAACUUCAUUUACGGAUAAGAAAAAAGGCCACUUGCUGCCAAUUACGGAUCUGCUAUAUAUACGCUGACGCAAACGAGCGUGUUUGAAUGUGUAUAUAAAUAUUUUUUUUUUUACAAUACAAUACACAUUUAUACAUAUUUAUAUAUUUUUUUACAAUAGUGUAU